rnacentral:rRNA from 1 species
UGGGGAAUCUUCCGCAAUGGGCGAAAGCCUGACGGAGCAACGCCGCGUGAAUGAAGAAGGCCUUCGGGUCGUAAAGUUCUGUUGAAAGGGAAGAAGUCUCUUUAUGUGAAUAAUGUAAAGAGGUGACGGUACCUUUUGAGGAAGCUCCGGCUAACUACGUGCCAGCAGCCGCGGUAAUACGUAGGGAGCAAGCGUUGUCCGGAAUUACUGGGCGUAAAGGGCGCGUAGGCGGGAUAUUAAGUUAGGUGUGAAAACUCCGGGCUCAACUUGGAGACUGCACCUAAAACUGGUAUUCUUGAGGACAGGAGAGGAAAGUGGAAUUCCUAGUGUAGCGGUGAAAUGCGUAGAUAUUAGGAGGAACACCAGUGGCGAAGGCGACUUUCUGGACUGUAACUGACGCUGAGGCGCGAAAGCGUGGGGAGUGAACG